UAAAGUUUGGAAUGUCACAAA
rnacentral:piRNA from 1 species